rnacentral:rRNA from 1 species
UACGUAGGGUGCAAGCGUUAAUCGGAAUUACUGGGCGUAAAGCGUGCGCAGGCGGUUUUGUAAGUCUGUCGUGAAUCCCCGGGCUCAACCUGGGAAUUGCGAUGGAGACUGCAAGGCUAGAAUCUGGCAGAGGGGGGUAGAAUUCCACGUGUAGCAGUGAAAUGCGUAGAGAUCGGAAAGAACACCAACGGCGAAAGCACUCUGCUGGGCCGACACUGACACUGAGAGACGAAAGCUAGGGGAGCGAAUGGG